rnacentral:lncRNA from 1 species
CUAAAAUAUUUACAUAGAUAAUAGAGCUGCAACGACAUCAUUGUGAAGGUGCAUAUCCAGAAAAACCUGCACUUUAGGGAUUUUAUCCUUAUCUGGCAAAAGGAAAUAGAUUGUCAUUUCAAAAAUGAAAAGGGACAAAGGAUUGCAGGAUUCCUGUUUACAGUUUAGUCACCGUUGAGUUCAUCUACCAAUAAACCUGACUAAGUCUAUGGAAACAAAACCUUUGCCAGAUCAAAAAAUUUAAAAACAUAAUAUGAAGGGAUAAAAAAGAAGAUAAACAACUAUAAUAAAGUGUCAUCCAAAAAACAUAUUAUGAAGGGAUAAAAAAAUAAGAUAAACAACUAUAAUAAAGUGUCAUCCACAAGAAUCAGAAUCCGACUGGACUUUAACAAUA